CUAUAAAAUUCAUGUUUAUGGGUAAGAAUCUCAUCAGGGAAUUCCCUGAUGACAUUCUUACCCAUAAACAUGAAUUUUUA
rnacentral:pre_miRNA from 1 species